rnacentral:ncRNA from 1 species
CCAUCAGUAUCACCAGAUGAGCCUAUGGCUCUGAAUAAAGCAGCAAGCCAGACAAUGUAAUGAAGUCCAGUAGCAUACCGGACGGGAACAGAAUCGUGAGAGGACGUUCCUCCUGACAACCUCGAGUCGGGUAGAUGC